AACGCCAAGACCGUGAGGAACGACAACUCCUCGCGCUUUGGCAAAUUCAUCAGAAUUCAUUUUGGUGCCACAGGAAAACUGGCUUCUGCAGAUAUUGAAACAUAUCUGCUGGAGAAGUCCAGAGUCACUUUCCAGCUCAAAGCGGAAAGGAGCUACCACAUCUUUUAUCAGAUCAUGUCCAACAAGAAGCCAGAG